rnacentral:lncRNA from 1 species
GGGCAGGCGCGGGGGGCGGCCUCCAACUUUCCUUGUCCCGGGAACUGCGGCCGCCCGAGGGGACGCCCGCUUUUGGCAGGGAGGAAUACACGGGGAGCGGGGGCUGUGAGGACGGACCUCACGCUUUGGGGCCGCCUAGUAGCUCGAGGAAGUGCUUGCCUGACACGGGUACAGAGCCUUCGGUUGUUGCCCGGGGCUUUUCCCACGGCGACCUUUCCUGUUUUUCGGCACAAUUGGCUUUGGUCGUGGAUCCUGUUACUGAGUCUUGCCUAUGCUUCAAAAUGAAAGUGAGGAAGAAGAAUCCCUGAAAGUAUUAAUUUGAACAAUAAUUAUUGCUUGUAAGUAAGUACUUUUCAUUCUUUGUGAUGUUGCCUUCACAAUUGAAAACUGCUCUGUCGAUAAGCGUUUGUCACCUGAGAAGAGGAAACUGCAAAAGAGUGAUCAGGUUCUUCACUUUUCAGUGAUCACUGACAGAAUGGGUCAAUCAGAUACCUGUUUCACCUUUUGUUUCUCCGUACACGUAUAUCUCUCCCUUCUCCUCUUUGCCUCUCAUCUCUAAAAAGAUAAAUUCUUUGGUAGGUUCAUUAUGUACCCUCUGUCU